GGAUGACUUUUCAUAUUAAUUAAACACAAGCAAAUACUCUGCAAUAAUUUCACGAUUGAAUGUUUCUUUGAAAAUUUUCUAUUUUUAAUUCGAUGUUAUCACAAGAGAAUAAAAAGAUACUCCAAACAAGCUAGAUAGCGUCUCACGGUUCCAUGGUGUACAGGAGAAAGGAGAAGAUCUAAAGUGACCUUUAGAUCAGGCAUUCUAUUUAUCCUAGGUAGCCAGCCUUCGUUAUAAAUAACAGAUUAUGUAAGCUUUGAUCGGGCGUUCAUGUGUAUAAAAAAUCAAGCAAGAGACUUCUUCACGCUCCCGUUUGCGUUACAUCUAGGAGUUUAUUAUAGGAAGCGGCAAGUAGAACAAGAAAACAUAGGAAAAUGCUUGGCAAAAUAACAACAAAACAACAUGCUAUAACUACACGCACAACGCGAGCGGAGAACAGAGGAGGCCGGAUAAUAGCGACGGAGGAACCGGAAAGCAUAAACCCGCGCAAAAGUGGGAGCCACUUCAAGCGUUUUCUGCGGCCCAACCCUUCCGAAAAUUAUCCACGGCGACCUGGCCAGACACGUCCUACCCUAACACGGGAUGAGAAGCAUUCUUUGUCGAUAUUAUACUCUUGAAAAAAUUUUGUCAAGUCAAGAAGAUAGAUCCGUAAAGAGAGAUAAACGUUAAGAGAGGGACGAUUAAACGUUUAUUUAGUUUCGAUAGUGGAGAGAAAAUUUUCUUUAAAAGAUACAGAAAUUAUAGUAACGAGAAAAUAAGAUAAUUCGUGUUCCCUUGGACAUUCUUUAUCAUGAUAUUAUCUGCUUUUGAAAAUAUUUCAUCGAGCUAAGAAUAUGAAAAAAGAAAAAAAUUUGUCUUCCAUUUUAAUAGGAAAAAUAUUUUAUCUUCCGAAAGUAUUUUCUUUAAAAAAAAAAGAAAUUCAAUUGUAAUAGAAAGAAAAUAAUACAUUUCAUGUCUCGUCAGCAUAAAACCUCGUACAAAAUUUAAAAAAAGAAAAAAUAGAGAAUGCGAGUAAAUAGAAGAGGAAGCAAAAGCUUUUAAAUUGUGGAUAAAACUGGAAAAUGAUAAAAUUCAAAAAGAUUGAAAGAGACACGUGUUACAACGUACCGUUGCAGUUUUCAUAAAGAAAUAAAGAAAAGUUACGAAAAAUAAAUCUAUCCUCGAAUAAAAAUUAAGGGAAAAUCUUAACAAACGAUUUUUUACAUCGAACCAAUCAUUGGAACAAAUGAUGAACGACGAAAUAAAAUUAUUCUAAAUUACAAAACGCGAUUCGAAUUAUAAGAUAUACAGAAGAAUUUGAGGAAAAACUUGAAAUUUUUAUUUCGAAACAAUAAGAAACAACAACGUGUAAAACCUUUCGCAAAAUUCAUGAUGAUAUUUAUUGAAAAGAGAAAAAUUUUAUUUGACGCAACGCCAUUACAUAAAUGUGGUUGUGCUACUUUCAGCAUUGCCACGCCCCUGUGCUGCAACCUUAACUUCCGACACCACCUAUAAUAAACCCUUUAAGCUCCCAUGUGCAUCGCAUACUCCUCCUUUCCCCCGUCCCCUAUAUCCAGGGUCGUCCAAAGUUCAAAGUUCUUUUGACGGUCAGAACUUUUUCCGUUUCAUAAACUGGCUCUGGUACAAUCCCUGACAAAGUUUCUUUCGUGGAACAGAGCCAUCUCGAAAUUACCACAUUGCGGCCUUCUCCAUUAAAUUUUCUCAAGUUUUUCGCAAUAAAAUCGACACUUUGGAGAAUAAAUUUUUGAAGACAUUCGUUGAACAAAUUGGAAUUUAUUCGCAGCUCAAACAAAAAAAGAAACUACAGAGCGAUAGUAGAGAACAAUACAAAUUUUUUAAUCGAAAUAUCAAUAUUCGAUAUCAAAAUUUUCAAUUGAUCUAUUAAUCGUAUCAAAAUCUUGUUAUUUUAGAUAAAGAUAAGAAGAAUUGAUUCACUGAGGAUGAAUUUUUGGAAGAAGCACGUUCACAUUGAAAAUUUAUUAAACAAUAAAUAAUUCAAGUAACAAUUAAGAAUGAAAAUAUAUAAAAAUAAUAACAUGUUUCGAAUCUAUUCGAUUUUACAAAAAAUACUUCAAAAUCAUGAAAAGAAUUAUUAAACAUCAAUUACUAUAAAAUAUUCAAUAAGAAAUCAAACUCUAAACUAACUAACAAACAAAAUUACCAACACAAAAUUUUGAGCAUGGUCAGGGAACAAAAACAAGCAUGCUAAAAAUUUCAAUCGAAACACAAAUAAAAAGAGAGUGCGAAAAAGCUAGAAAUUCGACAACGCAAACAUUGCAAAAAGUAAUCCAUUUUGCAUAAUCUAAAGUUAAAAAACGGUCCCAAUUAAAAUUCUAAACACGGCGAAGGAGUUUACAGUUGGAAGCAUCGAAAUUCAUCUCUGGCAGGAUUUGAAAAGGCGCACGCUAUAAAUUUCCGGUGUAAAAAGGGCGGCAGAAGGAAAUAUCUUUCCCUAGGCAAGACGAAAGAAAGAAAUGGCCCCGGCUUUCCAAUUAGCAUUCUUACUCCUGCCGCUGCAGGCAAAUGUCGGCUUUAGGGGGUGGCGAGUGUGCAACAUAAACCGCGCGAUAAAACGCCGCUGGCACGUGUAUAUCACCCACACAUACAGCCACUUCUUUUUCAUUUUAGUUUCUCGCACGGCAGGGUAGAAAGCGGUAAAGUAGAAACGGCAGAAACACGGCCAAGAAGAGUUUAUAAUGCUCUCCUCGCGCUGCUCCGACACUCUGCCACUUCGCCGACUAACUGCAGGUGGUUCUCAAAAUUUCUCUCCGUUUCACAAUAUACUUUCUUCGACUUAUGAUGAUACCUUCGAUUCACAAUAUAGAAUUCAUUAUUUGAAGAUCUCUUGUAUCUCAUUGAUGCGAUAAGAUGAAGAUAGGAGAAAGAAUGAAACGAUACAUAUAUUUUUAGAAUGUGGAAUGCAAAAGAGAUACAAUUGUGUAAUCUAAAAAUGUAGUAGAGAUGUCGUUGAACUUUUGAUUUGAUCGAGAAAAUUAAUGUAAUUGGAGAUGUUAUAUCGUAAUCUAAUAAUAUAUUUAAUAAAUUUACAAUUCCAAAAAGAAAAUAAAUUUCAAGAAACGAAAAUAAAGAAAUCUUAAUAUUACAAAUUGCAAUAUUAGAAUUUGCCAUAUCAAACAAUUGGAUAUCAAAUGGACCAUGAUCAAAAUUCGAAGAAUUCUUACAAGAAACUACACAAAAACCGUACAUCGUUCUCAUUCUCUCUUAGAACCAUUCAAAAAACAUUCAAUCAUUACUUUAACUCAUUCAAAGGCAACACUAAUCGAACCAAAGAACAGAAAAACAAAUAUCAAAAUAUCCAUAGAUCGAUUCACAUAAUCAUUUUUCCAUCAUCUCGUCUCAUCUCGUGAAAAAAGGCAACUCAAAAAGACUAUUAGCAAAAAUCAAUUCGUCUCGAAACGAAAGAUUCGCAUUCUCUCCCCUGGAAAAUGAAGGGUUGAGAGUCACGGCGGUGGAGGAGCUCGGUAUUUUUAACCCUUCGCGAGAAAUUCACGCCACGAAGACGUCGAAAAAACAGUGUCUCGGCUCACGGUUCGCAGGAGGGAUAGCCGACCGGUCAAAAGUUUCGCGGCCGCCACCCUCGCAGCCGCCAGUUCGUUUUUCUCCCCUUUUCUUCAACGGCGGCGACUCUUAAGCGGCGAGAAACCGAGAAAACGCGCGGAGUCGUCGACAAUUCCGGCAUGCGGCCCGCUAAUUAUUUAAUUAUUUAUUUACCGAGUUCAUUCCGCCGGAUUAUACUUCUCCCCUCCCCUCUCCCAUGGCAAGUUUCAUUCUUUAUCGCGGCCCUAUUAGCAUGCCGCCUAUUGCCCGGCUACCUGGCCGACUAAUUGUUUACUAAGCGGCCCUUUGCUGCCCGACCUUUUCGCGCUAAUCAGCGGACCCACGGUUUUAAACAACUUCCGCCGAGUUUAAACGACACCGCGACACGCGGCCAUACUUUAUUCAUGCGCAGACUAUUCGCCACAUUUCUGUAAACCACUGCGCGCAAUUCGCUUUGUGCCGACGUUCGACUACGAUUCAAUGUUAAUUUCCAACUUUGAAUAUCGCUACAGUUUUCUGGGUUUCAACUUAAGACCUUUCUAUACUGAAAUAUAUUGUACUUUUGAAAUAAUUUUUAUUUUGUCGUAUGUUAUUAACUUAAAAAUUUUGGUACUUUGGAAAUUUUAAUUUUUAUCGUAAAAUAGAUGUGAAAAAAAAGUUGCGAAAUUAUGUAAUUCCAUUUUCCAGUAACUUGUGAAAUAUGAAAUGUGGACUCCGUUGGUUAGCACAAUUUUUGUCAUAAAAAUCUGGCAAACAUUUAUUAUAUUUGACCUGUUAGAGUACAGUAUAUUCGAAACAGUAUUUUUGUCAAUGUUCAAUGCCCAUCAGUUAAAAUUGGUAUAUUAUUAUAUUCGCCGAUAAAGAAUCAAUUAUCCAAAAAUAAUUUCAUUAAUGUGGAAAUCAAAUUUCACGGCCAAGAUUACAAUAAUCGGUGAAAAAGAAGAGAGAAUUAAAUCCGCCCGUUAUUAAUAAAAUAAUUACUGUUAUUAAAUAAUUGUUUUAUGUAGAUAUUAAUAUAUAGCGGAAUAUUAAUACCGCGUGAAUCUAUCGGAAAAUUGAAGGUAAGAAUGUAAAUUAUUCGCUGAGCUGUUAUUUUCGAUAAUUUGAUGCGGGAGGCAAUUGAAUGAAAGUGGAAAUAAUUAAAAGUGGCUGUGUCAACGAAAGGGAAAUUAAUGCUUUAAUUGAUGGGACGGUUUUAAUAAUUUUAUGAAGCGCGAAUAUCUCGUUCAUUCAAACAAACUCAAUAGCAUUAAUGAGCGUGUCGUUCUCCUCAGUGGAAGGUAAAAUAUUUCGUGGCUGCGAAUAAAUGCGAAAUUUUGCGGCGUACGCGUUAAACCCGUAUCAUUGUACAGAAAUUAUUUGAUUAAAAAUUAAUAUUUAUUUCCGAUCAUACGCGCAGCUAAUUAUUUGUGCAACAAUCUUUUGGUUUCAUUUCAACACCUUUUAUAUUAUCGAUACGCUAUUUCCACAUAUUUUUGUAAUAUUCGUUAUACGCGCACAAUUUGCACAAAUUAACCGCACUUGGUUCAGUUUGCUUUCUAAUAUUUUACGAAAUAUGAAUUUUCGAUAACGUUUUGGCAAAUAUUAAUCAAUAAAAAUAACACAAUAUCAAACGAAAUUGGAACAACUAUACCAAAGAAGAAAAAUUCAAUAAAGAUUUUUGGAAACAAGAA